UUUUAUAGACACUUUUAAUAGAUGGAAGUGUGUUUUAGCUAAUUUGAAGUUAACUAACAACAAUAAUGCGUCAUUAGCAUUCGUGUUUGGCACAUCAAUGAAUCUAUCAAAUUUUCUAACGUUGUGUUAUUGAGUGAAGUAUGAGAAAACAAUUUGAUAAGUUCAGUGAACAUCCAAAAAAAAAAUUCUAACUCAACGACAAAUUGGAUAACAUUAGAUAAGUUUAUUGACUUUUGAAAAGCUUUUAAAGUUUAAUGGCCCAAUAAAUUCAGUAACCAUUUGAGAAACUUUUAAAGUUUAACGGUUGACGAAAAAUAUUGUACAAAGUUCAUUGAUUAUUAGAAUUUUUAAACCAAAUAAUUACAAGGAAGUCUACAAAAUAAACAUGCAUUUAGGAUUUAUUUACAAUUUGCAUACCAUAUUUUGCAAAUU
rnacentral:lncRNA from 1 species